rnacentral:rRNA from 1 species
AGGGUUUGAUCAUGGCUCAGGAUAAACGCUGGCGGCGUGCUUUAUGCAUGCAAGUCGAACGGUCAUGAUUUAUCAUGAUAGUGGCGGACGGGUGAGUAACGCGUAAGUAACCUGCCCUCAGGUAGGGUAUAGCUUCGAGAAAUUGGAGGUAAUACCGUAUGUGAUGGUGGGGGUAAGGCCCCAUUAUUAAAGCCUUCGGGCGCCUGGGGAUGGGCUUGCGUUCGAUUAGCUAGUUGGUGAGGUAACGGCCCACCAAGGCGACGAUCGAUAGCUGGUUUGAGAGGAUGAUCAGCCACACUGGGACUGAGACACGGCCCAGACUCCUACGGGAGGCAGCAGCAAGGAAUAUUGUGCAAUGGGCGAAAGCCUGACACAGCGACGCCGCGUGGGGGAAGAAGGCCUUCGGGUUGUAAACUCCUUUUCCCAGGGAAGAAUAAUGACGGUACCUGGGGAAUAAGCCAUGGCUAACUACGUGCCAGCAGCCGCGGUAAUACGUAGAUGGCGAGCGUUAUCCGGAAUCAUUGGGCGUAAAGCGGGCGUAGGCGGUUCUGCAAGUCAGAUGUAAAAUCUCCCGGCUUAACCGGGAGGGAACAUUCGAUACUGCGGGGCUAGAGUGCAGCAGGGGGAAGUGGAAUUCCCGGUGUAGUGGUGAAAUGCGUAGAUAUCGGGAGGAACACCAGUGGCGAAGGCGGCUUUCUGGGCUGUUACUGACGCUGAGGUCCUAAAGCGUGGGGAGCAAACAGGAUUAGAUACCCUGAUAGUCCACGCCGUAAACGAUGGACACUAGGUAUGGGGAGUAUCGACCCUUUCCGUGCCGAAGCUAACGCAUUAAGUGUCCCGCCUGGGGAGUACGGUCGCAAGACUAAAACUCAAAGGAAUUGACGGGGGUGCAA